rnacentral:rRNA from 1 species
CACGUAGGGCGCAAGCGUUGUCCGGAAUUAUUGGGCGUAAAGAGCUCGUAGGCGGUCUGUUACGUCUGCUGUGAAAACCCGGGGCUUAACCCUGGGCUUGCAGUGGAUACGGGCAGACUAGAGGCAGGUAGGGGAGAAUGGAAUUCCCGGUGUAGCGGUGAAAUGCGCAGAUAUCGGGAGGAACACCGGUGGCGAAGGCGGCAUCCUGGACCAUUACUGACACUGAAUAGCGAAAGCCAGGGGAGCAAACGGG